GCCGGCGUGGCGGAAUGGCAGACGCAGUAGACUCAAAAUCUACCGUACGCAAGUAUGUGUGAGUUCAAGUCUCACCGCCGGCA
rnacentral:tRNA from 1 species